GGUGGCUCAGUGGUAGAGCGCUUGCCUCCCAUACAGGAGGCCCUGGGUUCGAUUCCUCAGCACCA
rnacentral:tRNA from 1 species